CGUGCCUGGCUGCGUGUCCUCCACUCCCACGGACACGAACACACACGAACACACACGAACACACACGAACAGCCGCUCGGCCGCUCGGCCGUAGCUGCGUGUACUGUCUCUUUAAGAGCCGUAUUCGUCCGAGCGCACUCGGCCAUUUCCGUGAGCAGCAGCCGGCGGUGUCACUCAACAACCGUAGAGACUUGAAGUGACUAAACACAGCUCAGACUGUUAAAUAGGGAUUAUUUUAGAGAAAAGCUCUCAGAGAAAGUGUUCAGCUCAUUAUCCAAUGAUCAGCCAUGGAGGAUGAUGACAGCCAAGAUGAGCUGAUCAACCGCAGUAACUCACACAGUAAAGGAAAAAGGCCUGUGUUGUGGCCCAUCUCAGAUGACUCGGAUGAUGUUGAAGAGGAAUCUGAAGAAGGAGAAUCUGAGAGUGGUGAGGAGGAGGAUCAUUUAGAUGGAGCGGAUGACGUGGAGGAGGAGGAGGAGGAGGAGGAGGAAGAAGAAGGAGGGAAUGACGAGGAGGAUGGUAGGAGUGACUAAAUGCAAAAUUAAUAUUUCUGUAUAUCUGAUGAAGAUUUUUGUACCAGUACACUGGACUCUCUAUCUUUUUCAACCAGCACAGCACUAACAUUUUUGUAAAUCAACAUUUAGAUUUUUUUUUUAAACUACACACUUUGGUUAUAGAUUAAAUAUAGUGCCUGGCAAAAAAAGAAAAAGUCACCACCUUACUUUACUAAUCAAAUCAGUGCAGUAAUUAUUCUAUCGGAUAAUUACUGCAGUAAUUAAAUAUAUACAGUGGCACAAAAAAUUAUGUGAACCUGUUGUAAUCUAAUGGUUUGAGUCAAAUCAGUGUGACGAUAUUGGAUGUGUUGCUGAAAGCUGUCCCGCCCUUUAAAAACACGCACAGUUUUGGGUUUACUGGUUUCAAGAAGCACUGCCUGAUGUGAACCAUGCCUCGCGGAAAAGAGCUCGCAGAAGACCUACGAUCAAGAAUUGUUGACAUGCAUGAUGCUGGAAAGGGUAACAAAAGUAGAAUCCUAGAGUGUCAGCUAAAGACUUACAUAAAUCUCUGGCCCAUGCUAACAUUUUUGUUGACACAUCUACAAUAAGGAAAACAUUAAACAAGAAGGGAGUACAUGGGAGGACACCACGGAGAAAGCCAUUGCUGUCCAAAAAAAAUAUUGCAGCACGUUUGAAGUUUCCAAAAGAGCAGCUGGAUGUUCCACAGCACUACUGGCAAAUAUUCUGUGGACAGAUGAAAGCAAAAUUGAGUUGUUUGGAAAAAACACGCAACACUAUGUGUGGAGAAAAAAAGGCACAGCACACCAACAUCAAAACCUCAUCCCCACUGUAAAAUAUGGCGGAGGGAGCAUCAUGGUUUGGGGUUGCUUUGCUGCCUCAGGGCCUGGACGGAUCGUCGUCAUUGAUGGAAAAAUGAAUUCAGGAAAUUGUAAGACCAUCUGUCCGCCAACUGAAGCUCCGCAGAGGAUGGGUGAUGCAACAGGACAAUGAUCCAAAGCAUACAAGUAAUUCACCAAAGAAUGACUUCAACAGAACAAAAUACACCUUCUGGAGUGGCCCAAUCAGAGUCCUGACCUCAACCCGAUUGAAAUGCUGUGGCAUGACCUUAAGAGAGCGAUUCAAACCAGACAUCCCAAGAAUAUUGCUACACAUGAACUAGUUUUUAAGUCCAAAGGUUCACAUACUGUUUCCUCCCUGCACUGUGAAUGUUUACAUGUUAUGUUCAAUAAAAACAUGAAAACAUGUAAUGUUUGUGUAGUAUUAUUU
rnacentral:lncRNA from 1 species